CCUUUGUCUAGGCUAUUGGAUGGAACUGUUCUUCAGCCAAACCCUAGCCCCGGAGCAGCUGCUUCCUGAAUUUCUCCCCUUGAGAAUUCUCCUUUUGGGUUCCUCUUUCCAGCACAGUGUGCUCUGCUUUGCUUCUGCCUUGAUUACUUCAGAAAUGAAAUACAGCAAACAUUUUUUGAGUGGUGCAGGGGGAUGAACACUUAAGAGUUAAGAGCUUUGGAUUCUCGUCCUGGCUCUGCCAUUAACUGGCUGUGUGGCCUUGGGCAAGUCCCUUGUCUUUUCAGUGUUAGCUUGCCUUUGAAUAAAAUGGGUAAGUGCCUUCUGACUGGCAGGCUCUUGUCCAGUUCUUCCUUCCUGUCCUCCAGCAGGCUCUCCGUGGAGGCCCGGACCCCUCUCCUCCCCAUGGGCAGCUGCCAGGCAGGGCACAACCUGCAUCUCUGUCUGGCCCACCACCCACCACUGGUCUGUGCCACUUUGAUCCUACUGCUUCUCGGCCUUUCAGGCCUGGGCCUAGGCAGCUUCCUCCUCACCCACAGGACUGGCUUUCGCAGCCCUGACAUUCCUCAGGACUGGGUCUCUUUCUUGAGAUCUUUUGGCCAGCUGACCCUGUGCCCCAUGAAUGGGACAGUCACAGGAAAGUGGCAUGGGCCUCAGGUCGUGGGCUUACUGACCACCUUGAACUUCGGAGAUGGUCCAGACAGGAACAAGACACAGACAUUCCAAGCCACGGUCCGGGGUAGUCAGAUGGGAUUGAAAGGAUCUUCUGCAGGAGAGCUGGUCCUCAUUACUGCCAGGGUGACCACAGAAAGGACCCCAGGAACCUGCCUGUAUUUUAGUGCUGCUCCAGGAAUCCUGCCCUCCAGCCAGCCACCCCUCUCCUGCUCAGAGGAGGGAGCAGGAAAUGCCACCUUGAGUCCUAGAAUGGCUGAGGAGUGUGUCAGGGUUUGGAGCCACGAAGGCCUUGUGCUCACCAAGUUGCUCACCUCGGAGGAGUUGGCUCUGUGUGGCUCCAGACUGCUUGUUUUGGGCUCCUUCCUGCUUCUCUUCUGUGGCCUUCUCUGCUGUCUCACUGCUGUGUGCUUCCACCCGCGCCGGGAGUCCCACUGGUCUAGAACCCGGCUCUGAGGGCACUGGCCUAGUUCCCAUCUUGUUCUCAGGCUCUUAAACUGUUCUCAGCUUCAACAACUAGCUGCUGUACUCUAGGAGAGAGCCAUGGGAGAAGUUAGAACAGCCCAAGCCCAGGGAAGGGCUCUGGCCGGAGGAACUGGAUGCUUGAGGUGUGAAUCAACUUCUCCAGACUUUGUUCUAAGUUGGAAGAGAUGUUACAGAAAAUGGAAAGCUGGAAUGUGGAGGAAAAUAAAAGGCUUUUUUGCCCAA